rnacentral:rRNA from 1 species
CCUACGGGUGGCAGCAGUGGGGAAUAUUGCGCAAUGGGCGAAAGCCUGACGCAGCGACGCCGCGUGAGGGAUGAAGGUCUUCGGAUCGUAAACCUCUGUCAGCAGGGAAGAACGGUCACUGUGCUAAUCAGCAGUGACUUGACGGUACCUGCAAAGGAAGCACCGGCUAACUCCGUGCCAGCAGCCGCGGUAAUACGGAGGGUGCGGGCGUUAAUCGGAAUUACUGGGCGUAAAGCGUUCGUAGGCGGUAUGUCAAGUCAAGGGUGAAAUCCCCGCGCUCAACGUGGGAACUGCCUUUGAAACUGGCAAACUGGAGUGUGUGAGAGGAUAGUGGAAUUCUAGGUGUAGGAGUGAAAUCCGUAGAUAUCUGGAGGAACAUCAGUGGCGAAGGCGACUAUCUGGCACAUAACUGACGCUGAGGAGCGAAGGCGUGGGUAGCAAACAGGAUUAGAUACCCGAGUAGUC